rnacentral:rRNA from 1 species
UACGGAAGGGGCUAGCGUUGUUCGGAAUUACUGGGCGUAAAGAGCGCGUAGGCGGCUUACCAAGUUGGGGGUGAAAUCCCGGAGCUCAACUCCGGAACUGCCUUCAAAACUGGUAGGCUGGAGUCCGGAAGAGGGGCGUGGAAUACCCAGUGUAGAGGUGAAAUUCGUAGAUAUUGGGAAGAACACCGGUGGCGAAGGCGGCGCCCUGGUCCGGUACUGACUCUGAGGCGCGAAAGAGUGGGGAGCAAACAGG